rnacentral:rRNA from 1 species
AGUGAACGCUGGCGGUAGGCCUAACACAUGCAAGUCGAACGGCAGCACAGGAGAGCUUGCUCUCUGGGUGGCGAGUGGCGGACGGGUGAGGAAUACAUCGGAAUCUACCUUUUCGUGGGGGAUAACGUAGGGAAACUUACGCUAAUACCGCAUACGACCUUCGGGUGAAAGCAGGGGACCUUCGGGCCUUGCGCGGAUAGAUGAGCCGAUGUCGGAUUAGCUAGUUGGCGGGGUAAAGGCCCACCAAGGCGACGAUCCGUAGCUGGUCUGAGAGGAUGAUGAGCCACACUGGAACCGAGACACGGUCCAGACUCCUACGGGAGGCAGCAGUGGGGAAUAUUGGACAAUGGGCGCAAGCCUGAUCCAGCCAUACCGCGUGGGUGAAGAAGGCCUUCGGGUUGUAAAGCCCUUUUGUUGGGAAAGAAAAGCAGCCAGUUAAUACCUGGUUGUUCUGACGGUACCCAAAGAAUAAGCACCGGCUAACUUCGUGCCAGCAGCCGCGGUAA